GCAGCAGUAGACUUGUCCUUGAAUUUGCUCGCUUGUACAUCCAUCCAUAUAGAUCCCUGUUUCAGCAUGUUUUCUCAAGGAGUAAAUUCGCUUCCAUGAAUAAGUCAUUCAUGCAGUAAACUUUGAGCACAACAUGUGAUAUUAGAACUUUCAUCUCCUUCUUUGAUGCCACAAAUUCAAGUAAGCACAAGCUAUGAGAUCACCAGUAAUAGCGAUGGGAUCUGGUCUCACCGACAGAUUCAGAGUUUCAUUAGG
rnacentral:lncRNA from 1 species